ACCGUGCAGACUGCGUCUUCCCCACGAACCCUAGCCGCGUCCUCGCCUCCUCCUCCAUCCGCGCCGCCUCCUCCUCCUCUCCUCCUCCAUCCGCGCGCCUCGGUGGCGACCCCAUGGAGGGCGGCCGGGUCGGAGCGACCCCCCGCGUCCCUUCUUCCCCGCUCGGCGCUCUCUACUCCCAGCGCAGCUGCCGGCUCCCUCCGCUCUUCCCAUCUCGCCAGAGCCGCCGCACCCGGAGGCGACCGGCGUUGCUCCAUCUCGAGCUGCCCGUUCUCUCUCCCCCGACGGCCGGCGCAGGAGAGAGAAAGAGGAGAGGGAUGUGGCGGCGGACGGGAGAGGGUCGACCUCGCGGUCGGUGGCUGCUUGAUCUGAGAGAAAGAGGAGAGGGAGGUGUGGCGGCGGACGGGGGAGGGCCGACCUCGCGGUCAGUGGCGGCUCGAUCUCUACAAGAAAGAAGGGGUUUGAACUCCUCCCCUGUGAGCAUGGGAGGGUGAGAAGAACAGAGGUGGAGGCAGGACCGCGAUGCCGGAGCUCUAGGCGUCGCUCGCGUUGUCGUGGAGUGGAGAAGUGUCGCCGGCCAUGACUGAUGGUCGUUGCUCACUGGUCGUCAUCCCCUGUCCCCAAUCCAGAUCUGAGAAAGAAGAGGAGAGGAAGAAUCCUGAGGAAGAGUUUGAUGAAAGGGUUCUCUCUCUCUCUCUCUCAAAGUCAAGUUUUUUCUGCAUUCUGAUAUUUGUUUGUUUUAGCCAUGUUUAGAUUAGUUUCUAUGUAUGCCAACUAUUUUGUUUACUUAUAUUCCAGCGACCUAUGUUCCAUACUGAAUGCAUAUUUGUGCAGUGGUUCUUAGUUAUAUUCUGAUAAAGAGAGAAAGAAUUGGGGAUAGAGGUAUAAGGCCUUAGAUUCUUUGCCUCCAACAGAAGAAAUGAUUCAUGUGUGCCUCCCUUUUUGUUAUAUCUUACAUACUUUUUUACCUGGGCAGAUAUCACAUAGUCAUGGUUGGCAGCUAAUAUCCAAAAUUUUAGUGUUGUUAGUACACUGAGGUUUAUCUUAUUUUGGUAAAGGUUUUGUCUAUCAAGAACUACAUAUACUCGACAUGGUGUCGUGGUAUCUAUAGUUGUUGUGGAGCCUGCUGGUAUUCUCACCUUCCACUGCCUCUUUCCCCUCUCUGUGCCUAUGCAAGCUACAUUGGAAGAAUCCAUGUAUUUAGUUGUGGCAUGUUUGGCAGCUACAGCAGCUUGAUAAUUAAUUAGUUCUCAUCCAAGCCGCCGCCACACAUCCCGCUCGUAGAUGGCUAGGCGGUGCGCUGUUCGGAUCAUCCCCGCGCGGCGGACCCGAUCCAAGCGAGAAGCAGCAAUCCGGUAUCUUGGUGUCGCUCCUGCCGUCAAUGUUCCGGCCGGCCGGCAGUACUGCAGGUCGUACAUCGCGGCACCGAAGCCUCGGCUAGUCGGCUGCCCCACCGCCCCCAACCUGCCAGGAUCUCUCUCCACCGUACGUCGGAUACCCUACUGCCUGAGUCAGCGCCGCCGGCGACCUUCCCUCCCACUACAGGUAACUUGCAUACGUGUUGUACUAGCUCUUCUGAUCCUCAUGUUUGCGCGAUGGCUGUCCCAUGGUGUGAUUGCCACUCAACAACGCCCAACCAGCUGUUAGUUCAGAGGAAUACACUUGCCUGUUGAAGAGCUAUUGUUUCAGUUCGUCCAUGACCCUUAUGGGGCUGUGGGGGAUGUUGCACUCAGAGAACUUGUUUCUUGCAGUAGUAGGAUGAACUGGAUCAGAUAUUGGAAGUGGUACUGUCACAUAUCCUGGCAUCUGCUCAGCCUGCAGCAUGGCACAUGAGUCUUCGACAUCAUUGAGGAUUUCUGCAUCGGCAAAUUGGAAGACUGAUGUGGAAUAGGAGAGGAUGUAAAAGCUCCCAAGUGUGAACCCAUGUGCUCGUCUCUGCAUUUCCUUGAAGAUGAUGAGAACGAACAAAACCAUUUCGUAAUUGUGAUGAGGACUGCUCCAGGGCCCAGCUUUGUGGUUCCGAUCACAUGUUUGACCUCCUGCUUACUCUGGUACAUGGUCUCCAUCCACCCAUCGUCAACAUAUGGCCUCGCCGGAUCGCCAGACAACACCGUCGUCUACGUCUGUCUCGCCUGACAGGCACUGUCCUCGACCUCUGCGUUACAGUUAAUUGUGUACUAGUAAUUCCUUUGGGGAACUUGUUACAGUUAUUCUAACUCCGCCAUGUAUCCAUGAACUUGUUAGAUUCUGAAUAUGUAAUUUUCCAGACA